UACGUAGGGUGCAAGCGUUAAUCGGAAUUACUGGGCGUAAAGCGUGCGCAGGCGGUGAUGUAAGACAGUUGUGAAAUCCCCGGGCUCAACCUGGGAACUGCAUCUGUGACUGCAUCGCUGGAGUACGGUAGAGGGGGAUGGAAUUCCGCGUGUAGCAGUGAAAUGCGUAGAGAUGUGGAGGAACACCGAUGGCGAAGGCAGCCCCCUGGGCUAACACUGACGCUCAUGCACGAAAGCGUGGGGAGCAAACAGG
rnacentral:rRNA from 1 species